GGGGGUGUGGGGGACAGAAGGGGGUGUGGGGGACAGAAAAGGGCGUGAAGGGACCAAGGUGGGUGUGGGGGACAGAGGGGUAUAUGGGGGACAGAGGAGGGUGUGGGGGACAGAGGGAGAGUCUGGGGGACAGAGGAGGGUGUGGGGGACAGAGGGAGAAUGUGAGGGGCAGAGCAGAGUUUGGGGAGGAAAAUGGAAAUGAGGGAAAGAGGGGAAUUUGGGGGACAGAGGGGGAUGUAGGGAUAGAGCGUGGACUUAGGGGGACGUGGAGAGGUUGUAGGCUGACCGAGGGGGAUAUGGGGGGACGGAGGGAGACAGGGGGACAGAGGGUGCUGCUGCGGACAGCGUGGUGCGUGGAGAGGAGGCUGCAGGAGUGAAGGGCAGAUGCUCUGGCUGUCGGGUGGCGUGGGCUGAAGCUGCUGGGGGCAGAGGGCACCCUCCAGGGAGAGGCUGCUGGCCAGCAAGAAGCUGUCAGGUAAGUGGCCCUUGAGGAACGCUGGACGGGGUUACAGGGAGAGGAGGGAGUCACGGGCGUUACAGAGGAGGCCUGGCCUGGCCCCAUGAGGACAGCCCAGGUCAGCAGAGGCCAGGCUUAUGAUUCUCCGUACUAUCCCCUUGUUGGUGAGCUCCAGAGACCCUGGUCGGGGUUCCAGUUUUGGCACCUUCCUCAGCCUCCUAGACUGAGGGAGGGUGCUCAGGGGUUGGGGCCACAUCAGGAACCAGGGUGGCCCUGAGUGCAGCUCCUGGGCACCAUGGGCAGGGCCCCUGGG
rnacentral:lncRNA from 10 species